UGGGGAAUUUUGGACAAUGGGCGCAAGCCUGAUCCAGCAAUGCCGCGUGAGUGAAGAAGGCCUUCGGGUUGUAAAGCUCUUUUGUCAGGGAAGAAACGGUCUACUCUAAUACAGUGGGCUAAUGACGGUACCUGAAGAAUAAGCACCGGCUAACUACGUGCCAGCAGCCGCGGUAAUACGUAGGGUGCAAGCGUUAAUCGGAAUUACUGGGCGUAAAGCGUGCGCAGGCGGUUAUAUAAGUCAGAUGUGAAAUCCCCGGGCUCAACCUGGGAACUGCAUUUGAGACUGUAUGGCUAGAGUGUGUCAGAGGGGGGUAGAAUUCCACGUGUAGCAGUGAAAUGCGUAGAUAUGUGGAGGAAUACCGAUGGCGAAGGCAGCCCCCUGGGAUAACACUGACGCUCAUGCACGAAAGCGUGGGGAGCAAACAGGAUUAGAUACCCUGGUAGUCCACGCCCUAAACGAUGUCUACUAGUUGUCGGGACUUAAUUGUCUUGGUAACGCAGCUAACGCGUGAAGUAGACCGCCUGGGGAGUACGGUCGCAAGAUUA
rnacentral:rRNA from 1 species